rnacentral:lncRNA from 1 species
GUUUGUCUUUUCUUGCAUAGAAAUGAUUUACUAGUGUUCAGUGUUGCAUGGCGUUACAGUACGGAUGAGUUUGUGUCAACUGCCAUGGGCCGCAAUGACACAUUUUUAUGGCAGAUUGUUGGUGACAGCCAUAAACCGCCAUCCGCCAUUGAUAAUGUGCCAUUGCAGCCUACAGUCUCUAGUAUAAAGAAUGCCAAUAGUGGCUGCAAUUGAAUAAUUGAUAAAAGCAUUUUUUAUAAUAGGCCACUGAAUAAUUCUGCAGUGCCCCACUCUUCAUUUAAAACAGUAAACCUGAAUUACUUAUUAUUAUGACAUCAUUUGUUUUAUUAAAGGCUUAAAUAGGUCUUUCGCCCUUGCAAAUAUAGGUCAUUUGAAUUUUCGUCCCUGAAGUUAUUAAUCAUUCCAAUCUGCCACUACAAAAUUUAAUCAUUUAACUUUUGGUCAUAAUUAGGUUUUUUUGCUGAGGUGGGCUGUCAUUAGCGACAUGGUGCCCAUGUGGCAAGUGAUGAUUGGGCGAGGUGGUUGGCUUAAAUAGGUCUUUCGUCCCUGCAAAUUUAGGUCAUUUGAAUUUUCGUCCCUGAAGUUACUAAUCAGAUGUAAUUAGGAC